rnacentral:rRNA from 1 species
CCUACGGGGGGCUGCAGUAGGGAAUCUUCCACAAUGGGCGAAAGCCUGAUGGAGCAACGCCGCGUGGGUGAAGAAGGUCUUCGGAUCGUAAAACCCUGUUGUUAGAGAAGAAAGUGCGUGAGAGUAACUGUUCACGUUUCGACGGUAUCUAACCAGAAAGCCACGGCUAACUACGUGCCAGCAGCCGCGGUAAUACGUAGGUGGCAAGCGUUAUCCGGAUUUAUUGGGCGUAAAGGGAACGCAGGCGGGCUUUUAAGUCUGAUGUGAAAGCCUUCGGCUUAACCGGAGUAGUGCAUUGGAAAAUGGGAGACUGGAGUGCAGAAGAGGAGAGGGGAACUCCAUGUGUAGCGGUGAAAUGCGUAGAUAUAUGGAAGAACACCAGUGGCGAAAGCGGCUCUCUGGUCUGUAACUGACGCUGAGGUUCGAAAGCGUGGGUAGCAAACAGGAUUAGAUACCCUAGUAGUC